rnacentral:rRNA from 1 species
AUGUCACCGCCAUCAAGAGCAUCCUGCAGCUUUUUUGGGCGCGCCUUCGGGCUCCAGGUCAACUUCACCAAGAGCACGGCCACCUUGAUCCGUGCCAGCACGGAUGAGGCCGCGCCUGUCGUCGACUUGCUUGGCUGCCCCAUCGUCGAGCUGCCUGUCACCUACCUGGGCAUCCCCUCACGCUGCGCCGACCUUUCGCUGCCCAGCUCCAGCUCGUUGUCGAUAAAACCGCCCGCAUGCUCCCAUAUUGAAACCAUGCACCGCCUCAUCCUAGCAUGCCCCUUCGCCCGGCAGGCCUGGCACGAGACACUGAGUUGGCUAGGGAUCCCGUGUACCCCGCCAGACAACAAGCCUUCGCUUCUGGACUGGUGGCAAUCGGCGCGACACUCCGCCCCAACACCCAUGCGCAAGGGCCUAGGUACCGUGACCCUCCUCGUCCCCUGGAUGAUAUGGAAGCACCGCAACCACUGCGUCUUCAACGGAGCAUGCCCAUCCGUGAAGACCCUGCUAGCGAAGAUCAAGGAAGAGGCCACCUUUGGGCAAACGCGGGCGCGCUAG